CCCCUAGAUGUCCUGGGCCGCACGCGCGCUACACUGAGUGUCUGAGAUACGAGUCUGCCUGGUCCGGCAAGGUCUAGGUAAUCGCUAAAAGACACAUCAUGCUUGGGAUAGAUUAUUGCAAAUACUAAUCUUGAACGAGGAAUUCCUAGUAAGCGCAAGUCAACAGCUUGCGUUGAUUACGUCCCUGCCCUUUGUACACACCGCCCGUCGCUACUACUGAUUGGAUGUUUAAGCGAGGUUCUCGAACUGCUAGCGACUUAGCUUCGGUGAGGUCGCAGUGUGGGAAGUGAACCUAGCUUUGGUGUCUAGAGGAAGUAAAAGUCGUAACA
rnacentral:rRNA from 1 species